GUAGUAGUCUGGAAUAGCGCCCCGCCCCUGGCGGGGAGGAAAGUCCGGACAGCAGAAGACAGGGUGGCUGGGGAAACCCAGUCUCCCGCAGGGUAACCUGCGGGACGCGAUAGGGCCACAGAGACGAGUGAUGUGAAACGGUCGCCUUUUGGCGACACCCCGCCGGGGUGACCCGGCGGGGGUGGUAACCCGCCCCGCUGCAAUCUCCGACAGGUGCGUUAUCAGGCGUCUUCCCGAGCACCGAAGUAGAGAGCAUUAGAUAGAUGCUAUUCGUAAACAGAAUCCGGCUUACAGGACUACUAAAAAA
rnacentral:RNase_P_RNA from 2 species